rnacentral:rRNA from 1 species
AUUGAACGCUGGCGGCAGGCCUAACACAUGCAAGUCGAACGGUAACAGGAAGCAGCUUGCUGCUUCGCUGACGAGUGGCGGACGGGUGAGUAAUGUCUGGGAAGCUGCCUGAUGGAGGGGGAUAACUACUGGAAACGGUAGCUAAUACCGCAUAAUGUCGCAAGACCAAAGAGGGGGACCUUCUGGCCUCUUGCCAUCGGAUGUGCCCAGAUGGGAUUAGCUUGUUGGUGGGGUAACGGCUCACCAAGGCGACGAUCCCUAGCUGGUCUGAGAGGAUGACCAGCCACACUGGAACUGAGACACGGUCAAGACUCCUACGGGAGGCAGCAGUGGGGAAUAUUGCACAAUGGGCGCAAGCCUGAUGCAGCCAUGCCGCGUGUAUGAAGAAGGCCUUCGGGUUGUAAAGUACUUUCAGCGGGGAGGAAGGGAGUAAAGUUAAUACCUUUGCUCAUUGACGUUACCCGCAGAAGAAGCACCGGCUAACUCCGUG